GCUUGUCUCAAAGAUUAAGCCAUGCAUGUCUAAGUACAAGCCUCAGUAAGGUGAAACCGCGAAUGGCUCAUUAAAUCACACCUAAUCUACUGGAAAGUUACUAGUUACUUGGAUAACUGAGGUAAUUCUUGAGCUAAUACAUGCGAAAAAUCUCGACUCACGGAGAGAUGCUUUUAUUAGAUCAAAACCAACUUUGUUGGUGAAUCAUAAUAACUUCUCGGACCGCAUGGCCUCGUGCUGGCGGUGCUUCAUUCAAAUAUCUGCCCUAUCAACUGUCGAUGGUAGGAUAGAGGCCUACCAUGGUUGCAACGGGUAACGGGGAAUAAGGGUUCGAUUCCGGAGAGGGAGCCUGAGAAACGGCUACCACAUCCAAGGAAGGCAGCAGG
rnacentral:rRNA from 1 species